GAAGCCCUGCUCACUUUGCUGGGAGUUAUUCCUGAAGACAAGCUGUACCAGCAGUCAUGUCCUUCCUGCUCUUUCUCUGGAAAGAUCCAGUUCCUCGUAAUCAUUCUGAAUCACAGCACACAGCCACGGGACGUGCAUCCCAUCCUCUGCUGAGAUGUAAUGAUGAAAUACAUAUAAAACUUCAAAAUAAUGGAUAAAUUCUUCCUUCAGAAUAACAUGGCCAUGAAGACUUAUCUCAGUGAAGCCCCUCAGAAGUCCAGCAUGUUGCCUCAAUGAUUUUAUGAUUCUAAAAUGAACCUCUGAGAGGGCAAGGAGACCAGCUCCCCCGCAGCCCAGCAACUUCAAGAGUCUGCCCCAGCCAGAGCUUGUGCUCAUUCUGAGUUUGUUCCAAACAGCAGCUGAGGAGAGAAGCGGAGACACAUCUGAGCAAAAAAUCAAGGAUGGAAAGUUCAGAGAAUGCAACGAAGACAGAGGUCCCUUGUAAAAUGAGAGCAGGAAAAACUGCUAACAGAAACAAGUCCAUCAUCAGUGUGGAGCCACCACUCCCCUUUCCAGUGGAGUCUACUUUAGCUCUGAAGCUGGGACUGCCAACGUUACCAUGGAAACCCCCAAAAAUAAAGACUUUCCCAGCCUUGUGAGAGCACACCUGCAAGAGCAAGAACGACAGUUAGCCUUUUGCCUGUCAAAAGCAAAUCUCCUUCAUUCUUGAUGUCACCUGAGGACAUUUUUUACCCUCGAAAGCAGUUAAGAUGGUCGGAUUGACUUCAGACAAUCUGGCAAUAUGACUGGAGCUGCCUGUUGUACACAUGACAAGCUUUCAGAGAAGAAGCCUGGUGGUUAUGAGAGGAGAAUCCCACGGAACUGCACAGGUACUGCCAGCAGGAGUGGUCAUUCACACAGGGACAGCUCACUGCCACUGCUAACAAAAUCCCCAGCCCAGUCACUUGUGAAUCACUUUUGGCUGAACUUAGCAGCUUUAAGUAUGAUCAAAGUCAAGAAUAUUUGCAGUCAGUAGGAUUUCUGUACAUCACAAGGGAAACAUUUUGCUAACAAAUGCUGAUUCAAAUGUUGUACGUUCCCACUGCUUCAGUUCUUGCUCUCGGCUAAGUAGAUGAAUGACUAGUGUUGCUACAGAGCUGUCAGACAGCAGUUGUGUUUCAGCAUUAGUUGGGGGGCAUUCCUAUGCAUGCAUUAGUGCUCAAAAUGACCGUUAAGAAUUUUGUUGUAUGUGUUCAUAGAUACUCUUUAAGGUGGAUUGAUGUUGCAGAUGGGAGUAAGAGUUGAAUGCUCCCAUGAAGGUGGGUGGGAGCCCCAAUGGAAAUCAGAUUAAACUGGACUAACCUUACCAGUGUUCUGAGUUAUUCGGUGGCAAAUCCCAUGGAAACUGCACAUAGAUGAAAUGUCUGGGAAUUAUGAUUUUCAGGGUCAAUUUUUUGGGUAAUGAAGUAAAGAAAUGAAAUGAAUUGUAGAGGAAAUUGUAAACUGGCAUAGAUUUCAGUUCUGUUAUCAUAAAAUUAUUCCUGAUCCUUUGGCUGGAUGCUCCGUGUGAGCUGCCAUUCCCCCUCCUAGUGUUAAAAUCACCUCUUUUGUUUGUGCAUGCUUUUUGGAAGUGAUGAGACUGAAACAGCAUUAUACCACUUCAACUCAAUAGGGAAUGAUUGCAACUGAAAAGCAUUUAUUUAUUUGGUGUGAAUCAUUCCGUAUUGCAUUUCAGUUCCAUUCUGAUGGGGAGCUUUGUUUGUCUUUUAAAGGGUUUACUUAAACAUAAGAGGAAAGGAGAACCAGUCCCUGGCACAUUUAUUUUGCUAAUACUGCUGACACAUACCUCACUUCAUAGAGCUGACAUCUUACUAAAGGACAUCCAGGACAGUUUCAGCUAUUCCAGUGUUUAUUUUUACUACACCAAGUCUUUGCCGUUGGUUAUCAGGAUGUUCGUCAGUGAGAAAGAGAGAUAAUACUGAGAUACUAGCAUUAAAGAGAAGGCUACAAAUAAAGAUGGUGGGGUUUGCUGUAAAUGUCAGUGUUUAUUGGUUCUACCUUGCUAGAUGAGCUAGAUGUUAAAUAGGUUGGUCUAAGAAACUAAGCUGACGUUCUAUGGAGAAAGUUGACUCUUGAAGAUUGAUGUGUUAUGAAGAGGAUAAGAAUAUUAUGGCAAAAUCCAAGCUAGAGACAAGGAUACGCCCUAUUCCACUUAGUUUGUUCUAGUUCUGUUUUUCAGACCACUUGAGAGAUAAGAGCACUUAGCAAGUGUAGAGCAAGGCUCCUUUCUGUAUUACAGCAUUCAUAUUCUGCUGGGAAAAGUUAUGUUGCAAGGUGAGCAACAUGAGUCUGUACGUGAAUUCUCAGAGGUUCCUUAAUUGCUGACACACACAUGGCCAUACUGACAGCAUCUCAGCCCAGCCGUGUGGAGUAAGGGAUCUGCAGUAUUCAAAACCAAUCCGUUUUAACAUCACGAUGCAACAUUUGUGCACAGGGCUCUAUCAAACCUGCACCUCAUCCGUGGCUGGUUCUUUUUGAGACCUGCAGGAGCUUACUGACUCUCAUUUCAGGAACCCCUCUCUAGUCCCCACCUGAGCUGGUGGGUGGGUGAGAUUCCAGACAAAUGGAUGGAUUACUGAUAAGUUGUGUUGUUUGGCCAUCUGGUUGUACUGCUGCUGCUGCCAGGCUCAUUCUUCAGCUUGAUGACCAUAAUGAUUUUGGCAACAAUUGUAGCUGCUCCCAUUCAUUCUUUCAAUAAUUUCCAUUGCCCUUGCCAAUUAUUUUGAGGAUCUUAGUCUUUUCUUUCAGAGCAAUGUGUUUUUAUGUUUCACGAUCUCUGAAUGCUGAUUUAUAUACGUAAGUCCCUUUGCAGGUGCUGUUCUUAGAGCACGUUUUACACAGAACCUUUUGAACUAGCUAGUGACAAAAUGACUCAGGCAAUGCUGCUGUAAAUAACCUUUCUGCAGACAGAGAAUGAAAAAGAGAAAAGCCUCAGCUCUCCAUUUUGCUGGACAGGGCACUAAGCAUACAGUCAGACAGGAAAAAAAACUCAGACUUAUAGAAGUGUUGUCAGUAGCAGAUUCCAGCUGUUCCCUUGGAUAUAGCAUACAGAGGGACUCCCCACACAGAACUGGCUUCAGCUGCAUUUUAUUCUAUGGUUUUGUCUAUUUUUAGUAUUUUGUCAGCCCCAACAGGCUGAAACAGGCAUCUUCUUGUGUAUUUUAAGCUGAAAGAAAAGUCAGUGAACACACAGUGAGUCUAUACAGGCAUCCAGAAACAAAACUGGCAUUAUAGGAUAUGAAAUUCCUUGCUCUGAAGUAUUGUUAAGGCUUAUUCUGUUAAGUCCAUACAGGCUGUCCAGCUCACAUCUUAGCCCACUGGGGAAAAAAAAAGAAGAGUUCCCAAACGUGCUUGAAAUACUAAACUACUCCCAGGAGGGAAAACCUAAACAAACAAUAUCCCCCUCGCUGAACACAUCCAGUCCUUCCCUAAUUUAAACAGCCACUAGCACUGUUAUCACCUUCUGCCAGCAACCCUCUUUUGUUGUUCGGAAGGAAGGCUUCUGCUGCUUCCACAAGUUUUUGCCACCUCUGUACAUUGCAUGCCUUGGAUACUCAACCAGCUGCUGGGCGCUGCUGAGUCUUAAAGGGAGUGACGUACAUAGAAAGGGAUUCUGUAUCAAAAUGCUUCUGCGUUAAGGCUGUGUGGUGACAGGUCAUUACGUCACUGCCAUUCACUCGUGCCAUCCUUUACAUAACGGGCCAAACAGCACAAAGAUUUUAGCAGAAUGCAUUCAGAAUGAGAAGCUGCCUAUUAUUAACAUAUACUGGUGUAUAUCACAAUAAAGCAGAUGGAGCAUCUCUAAUUACCAUCUGCAACUCAUGAAAUUAGGGUCUGCUAGUCUUAGAAUCUUGAUACAAGAGGUUAUAUUAGUAAUCAAAGCGGUACUUGGAGAAAAUCAUCAGUUACUACCAGAAAUAAAAGCAUUUCAGAUGUCAUUUCCUUGAAUAUGUGCUUAAUAGUUUCAAGUCUUUGAAAGCAUGUUCCAGCUACUCCCCAUCACACAGCUGCACUGACUCCACGCUCUUUGGAUGCAGUUCAAAUCCUGUUUUCAGUAUGACAAGAACUUUUGUCCACACUGCAGUCCAGCAACAAGAUGCAUGCCAAUAACCAGACAAUGAAAAUACCUUAGCAAACAGGCAGGGUUCUGGAUCCUAAAGCCUUAAAGGCUGGCUAAUCCUUCAACACAAACAGGCACAUAGCUGUAGUACUGGAUGCACAGUUAAACUAUACCUGAGAUGGCCACUCCCAGAAGCAGGUUCUGUGACAGGACCCAACUUCUCCUGCCCAGGCUGCCAAUGCAGACACACUGUCAAUUUAGUGCCAUGUCUCCUUCCAUCACACCACAUCAGGUUCUGUCUGAAAGGCUGCAGGACACCUCAGCUGCCUAGCCUCAAACAUAUGGCCUCAGCACAAGAGCAGCUGAAACACAGGGAGGUGAUGGAACCAGGUAAUGCCCAGAGCCUGCUGGCACUGCGGCGUAAGGAUUAGAUGCUCGGGGCAAAGUUGAAUAUUCUCUGAGUACAUCAGUUUGCUCAUCAGCCUGAAGUCUGCUCCAGGGGUCUGAUAGGAAAUUUAAUUCAGAGCAGUUGUGAAGUCUUUUCUGUAGGAUGUACUCAUCUCACCAAGCUUCCCUAUCCACUGGAUCAAAGAAACUGCACAAAAUGACACACAGGCAUGCACAAUUUCCUAGCAAAUGCAAAUACGUACUUUAAAUGUGAUGUUAAUACAGUGGAUUGCAUUCAAGCAUGCUGAAGGUCUACUUAAAGACCAGCAUUUGCAUUUCUGAAAUGCUUAUGUAAUUCAUAAUCACCUGCUAACUUCAUGAAGCUCUUCAUGCUUCAAGGCUGAAAGACUUGUAUGUGAUAUACAUCACAAUCCCCAAAGAAUAAUGGGAAAAGAAAAUAGGAAAAUUCAUUCCCUAUUGAGAGGAUUUCUCUAAGGCUUCAAGGACAACUUUCCAAUUGAAGCCCUGCAGAAGGGCUGAUCUGUGGAACGUGACUAAGGCUCAGUAUCACCACAGCGUAUGUCAGUCUGAUGAGGUGCCUACAGCUCUGCUCUAUCGUUACAAACAUGUAACACCUCUGAAUGUAGUAGUUCAUCUGCCUUGAGAAUUAAGUUUGUCUUUUAAAGUGCAGCAUGGCCUUGCAGACAGAAGGAGAAAGAGCAAAAAAAACCCAACAUUUAUCAUUCCUUUGCCAGGCAGUUUUGGUUUGAAAGAAACCAGAUGAGUUGUGCAUCAUUCAUCUGAGGAACAAAUCUACUCCACAGAUUUGUCUGAGAGACAAGUGAAUGCAAUCCAAAAAAGCUAUCCAUUUCAGAAUGGGAGGCUUGAAUUCCAUCCAACGGCAAAAUGCAUGCUGAGUAGCAUCCAUUUAUUCAGGACAGUAAUGGCUUCUUUUAGAAGCACAUCGCCUUCAUCAUUUGUGUUAAACAUGGCAUAUAUACCAACAAAAAUUCCCGUAUCUGUGAAUGCAGGCUAUCUGCCAGCUCUACAAAGGGAAUUUUUCUUUUUAAAACAGCUACUGAGCUAGAGCUGUUGCCUGCAGAGCAGAUUUUAUA